rnacentral:misc_RNA from 1 species
GAUGAAGAACGCAGCGAAACGCGAUAUGUAAUGUGAAUUGCAGAAUUCAGUGAAUCAUCGAAUCUUUGAACGCACAUGGCGCCUUCCAGUAUCCUGGGAGGCAUGCCUGUCCGAGCGUCGUUUCAACCCUCGAGCCCCCGUGGCCCGGCGUUGGGGAUCUGCCCAGGCAGUCCCCGAAAACCAGUGGCGGACCCGUUACAGGCCCUUCCCUUGCGUAGUAGCAUUCGCCUCGCAUCGGGAGCCGGCGGGCUUCCAGCCUCUAAACCCCCAUCGAGUCCGCCCCGGCGGCACCAAGGUUGACCUCGGAUCAGGUAGGAAUACCCGCUGAACUUAAGCAUAUCAAUAACCGGAGGA